GAGCGGCGAGCUGAGGCGGCCGAGGGGCUGGUCCAGGCGCGGCCGCUAAGAGGAGACCAAGAGGCGGGGGCUGCACUUGACAACCAGCAUGCCGAGAUGGUAAGAAGUUUCCACCUCCUCUCCGCUUGCGUCUGCACUUGGUAGGGACAGACCCGGGCGGGACGCCCCGGGGCCGCGGCGGGCCGCGUUCUCCUCUAGCGCCGCGGCGUGAGGAGGCGGGCAGCCGGCGGCGCUCCCGAAAUCCACCCCCCACUCCCCCAACUUGGCCCCAAGUUCUCGAGGCGGCUGCGGGAGGGCGAGCGGGCGGGCAGGCGGACGGGAGCGAGGGCUCCCCGCGCCUUAGGUGAGCGGCGGCCAGUCGGGGACUCUGGGGACCGGGGAGCCCUCGGGGAGGGCGCGGGACACGGGGACCCGGGAUGCACGGGGCUGCCGGGACCCGCGGCAACUUUCCCAACUUGCCGGCCUGUUGAGAGCCCUGAGCGGCGGCUGGGCAUGGGUGCCGGGGCGCGGCCCGCGGCCCGCGUGGGGACCGCAGCGAUGCCCGCGCGGCUGCGGAGGACGCGGACGCGGCCAGUCAAAUCCCGCUAGACAGACACGUGUGUGCUUUCCCGAAGUGCGGUUCUGAAGCAGCCGGCCCACUGCGCUUACACGCCGACUGGACGGUGGGAUUUGAGACCUGAAAGGGGGGCAGAAUUUAAAAACAUAUAUAUAUAUAUACAGUAGUGGUGGAGCUCAGGACAAAACUAGACGGAAUCUCCCGUGGGAUGAGGCGAAGAUUAAAACAAAACAAAACUUGUAAGUGCCAAGUGGUGGUGGAAAAGGGAUGGCACAGCGCAGGGGGACUCCAGCCCAGUCCCUGGAAGGGACGGCUUCUCUGCAGCGAGGAAGCAGGCAAUUAGUUCACCCAGUGAUGAGCCUCACUGUCUGCUUUCGGGAAGUCAUUUGUUAGAAAUGGGGCUUGACCACUCUUUUUUUCUUGGAGUUCCCUACCACCCAGUGUCGCUGUUGUUAGCCCCACUUGGGGGCUCUGAUACAAAGUGGGCCCUAUGUACAUGGGAUGUAUAAGAAACGGGGUGAUAGCAGGUUGACAUUUUUUUUUCCUCUUCCCUUCCCCCUGAUGUGACAUCUCUUGUUUCAGAGAUCAAAGUCACAACUGGAAUGUAGGAGAUGGUACUGUCAAAUGCAGACAUACACACAUACAAAAUGCACCCAGGACUGCGGUUACAGUAAUGCUGACAGAAAUUAAAGAGGUUUUGAAAGCAGCGUGCGAUUUAUGAUGCUUCCCAUUUACCCUAGAGUCAAGCUGUUGUAAAACUGAUGUACAAAAGACAUCAUAAAAUAAUCCUGUGUAUCCAGGAUUAAAGUGGCAGAAAGUGGCCUGUUUUAUUAAUUUUUAUGUACUUCGUGAACAUUUGUAGUUGUUGGAUCCUGUGUUAAUGGAGGGAUCAAAACAAAGUAUGAAAUAUAUCUCCUUAGAGCUGGAGAGUUUCUUGUAACGGCAUUUUACAGAACAUUAUUAAAGCCAGUUGCACGCCUUUUCUUCCCCUGGCUAGUAUUACUAUUUGUCUACAGAUCUAUUCCCAUAUACUAAUCACUGAGCGGUGGCUGAGUCCAUUUGUCUCCCGCUGUUUUGUAUUCUGCCUGUUUAGGUGGUUUCAUGCCCAGACACACAUGCUUUAGGUGGACUUUAUUUCUGACACUAAGUAUUUCUGCUCGGAAGUUUUCCUCUAGUACCAAUCCUUGUCUAAGUUUGAGAGAACUUCCUUUUACUCUUUGGAAUCAUGCACACGAGAAUCCUUUGUGAGCCCUUAAAGGCUCUGUACUUUAUAUGAUAUUUGUAGCCGUUUCCUUUAAACUUGUUCAGUUUUAAUGAAGUUCUGAGUUGUAGGUACUCUUUCUGUUCCCAGAGAGCAGUGGAUUUAAAAUCCAGAUUGCUAAUUACUUUACCAAAGCAUAGGAAUAUCUUCACCUGAGGGAAGGACUAGCAAACCUGAAUCUGAACUUUGUAUAGAAGAUCUUUCUGGAGGCAUGUCUGAAAUGCCCUGACACCCCCCCCCCCAUCCACUGAGAAUAUUCAGUUGGGUUUGCAUGUAAAAACUUUGGGUAAAAACUAACCUCAUGUGAUUUUUGAAAAUAUUGAGGAAAUAUUAAUAGCAAUAGUGCAUUGCUAAUACCUGAUUCUUCCUUUUCUGCCUGAGACGUAAGUUAUCUGUCAGGCAGGAAUAUGUGAUUACAGAAAGGAGCAGACAAAAGCAGGGCUGACUGUUGCUAUAUUAAAAUGUAAGUGUUACAGUUUGAAUUUUCAAGUGAGAGUUUCUGAGUUCAGUGCUUUACAUAACAUUUUGUCCUAAUCUUGCUUGCUGUCAGGGAUGUUUCAUGGUUGUGCAAUUGCUGCAGUCAAGAAUGCCAAUUUGCAUUCCACGACUGUCGUUUGAUUACUUUUAUCUGCGAAGCUCCAAGACCGGCCCAGACCUCUCGUUUCAUCUUGCCAUGUCACGAGUCAAUGCUGUGUCGUCUUUUCAAAAAUCUGCCUGAUUUAGACAAGAAAGAAAAGUACUUUCAUGUUGCAGCCGCAGUCCCCUGCUAACUUGUCAGCAGCAGGAUAUGAUUCACUUGGGCCCAGAAGAAUGGAACAGAGAGGCGGGUUAGACGGUUCAAUAAAGCCCACGGACAGGUAGUGUGUGACGUCCCCAGAGAGCUGCAGUUAAUGAAGAACAGGUCUGCUUAGUUCUCCACGCGCUGACCUGGUGCUGUCCCCACAGUUUUCUCAUUUGAUCUUUCCCAGCAAAUUGAUCUUUUCUUGUAUUUUUUUGCCUUCCAAGUUAGUCCUUGAGGGACUGAAAUUAGCAGAGCAACUUAAGUUGGAUAAUACAGCUGUUCAGAAAAGAAGAAAUUGGACACUGGC
rnacentral:lncRNA from 1 species